rnacentral:rRNA from 1 species
UACUCGAGUGGCGAACGGGUGAGUAACACGUGGGUGAUCUGCCCUGCACUUCGGAUAAGCCUGGGAAACUGGGUCUAAUACCGGAUAGGACGAUGGUUUGGAUGCCAUUGUGGAAAGUUUUUCGGUGUGGGAUGAGCUCGCGGCCUAUCAGCUUGUUGGUGGGGUAAUGGCCUACCAAGGCGUCGACGGGUAGCCGGCCUGAGAGGGUGUACGGCCACAUUGGGACUGAGAUACGGCCCAG